rnacentral:sRNA from 1 species
UUAUAUGUUACUGCCCCUAGUCAGUGUCUAUUGUAUUUAUUACUGCAGGGCCGCCUUUUUGCCUAUCCUGACACUCACCGCCAUCGCCUGGGACCCAAUUAUCUUCAUAUACCUGUGAACUGUCCCUACCGUGCUCGAGUGGCCAACUACCAGCGUGACGGCCCGAUGUGCAUGCAGGACAAUCAGGGUGGUGCUCCAAAUUACUACCCCAACAGCUUUGGUGCUCCGGAACAACAGCCUUCUGCCCUGGAGCACAGCAUCCAAUAUUGUGGAGAAGUGCGGAGAUUCAACACUGCCAAUGAUGAUAACGUUACUCAGGUGCGGGCAUUCUAUGUGAACGUGCUGAAUGAGGAACAGAGGAAACGUCUGUGUGAGAACAUUGCCGGCCACCUGAAAGAUGCACAAAUUUUCAUCCAGAAGAAAGCGGUGAGUCUUUGUAAGCUGAAGGGUGUCCUCUGCUGGCUAAGGAAGACAGUGCAGCUGUGUGGGAGAACCCUAAAAAGAAAGUGCCAUUUCUGUUUUACUUAAGAGAACUUAAAAAAAAAAAAAAAACUAG